AGUGAACGCUGGCGGUAUGCCUAACACAUGCAAGUCGAGCGACCGCACGGUAAGAUUGUUCUCUUACGGUUGGCGACUGACGGACGGGUGACGAAUACAUCGCCAUCUACUUUUACUGGGGGGAUUACGUGGGGAAACUUACGCUACUACCUCAUACUUUCUACGGCAUAGAUCAGUAGUUAUUCGCGGCUUUCUCGACUGUUAUAGACGAUGUCGGAUUAGAUAGUUGGCUGGGUAAGGGCCCACCAAGGCGACGAUCCGUAGCUGGUCUGAGAGGAUGAUCAGCCACACUGGAACUGAGACACGGUCCAGACUCCUACGGGAGGCAGCAGUGGGGAAUAUUGGACAAUGGGCGCAAGCCUGAUCCAGCCAUACCGCGUGGGUGAAGAAGGCCUUCGGGUUGUAAAGCCCUUUUGUUGGGAAAGAAAAGCAGCAGGUUAAUACCCCGCUGUUCUGACGGUACCCAAAGAAUAAGCAACGGCUAACUUCGUG
rnacentral:rRNA from 1 species